CCUGCAAAACGAAUCUAAGUUCCCCCUUAACCCUCUUUUUCCUCCCCAGACAAACCCAACCCAAAUGUGAUAGUUAAGGGCUAUUUAAAGGGGGUACAGCCCCUUUAAAAAAGGACACAACCUCCACCAGCGGAUAACCCCUGUACGCCCAACCCCGUGGGCCUUAAAGCAGCCACCCCCAAAGAUUGCGUCAAAGCUCCAUCAACCAAAAACCCCCAAAACCAAUGCGACUCCCUACACCCACAGCAGGCCAACCUAUAACAAUAGAUGAAUCAAUGCUAGAACGAGUAACCAGGACACUAUGUCCCCCUAAGCGCCAGCCUGUAUACCAUUAACAGUAAAACCUCAAUAAUAACCACCCCCACCAUUGAACCCACCCUGUCAACCCAACUCAGGGGCGCACACUGGAGUGAUCAAAAUCUACAAAAGGAACUCGGCAAACCUAAGACCCGACUGUUUACCAAAAACAUAGCCUUCAGCCAAACAAGUAUUGAAGGUGAUGCCUGCCCAG
rnacentral:rRNA from 1 species